rnacentral:rRNA from 1 species
AUUGAACGCUGGCGGCAGGCCUAACACAUGCAAGUCGAGCGGAGCGGCGGACGGGUGAGUAAUGCCUAGGAAUCUGCCUGGUAGUGGGGGAUAACGUCCGGAAACGGGCGCUAAUACCGCAUACUAGCAGAUCAGCCUAGGUCGGAUUAGCUAGUUGGUGGGGUAAAGGCCUACCAAGGUGACGAUCCGUAACUGGUCUGAGAGGAUGAUCAGUCACACUGGAACUGAGACACGGUCCAGACUCCGACGGGAGGCAGCAGUGGGGAAUAUUGGACAAUGGGCGAAAGUCUGAUCCAGCCAUGCCGCGUGUGUGAAGAAGGUCUUCGGAUUGUAAAGCCCUUUAAGUUGUGAGGCGUUACCAACAGAAAAAGCACCGGCUAACUUCGUGCCAGCAGCCGCGGUAAUUC